UGGGGUCUUGUACCAAGGGAAGUGGACCCGACAUGUAGCUGGGAAUUGAUAGGGACGGCUGACAGGUGUGGUGUGCGGAUGUUGUAGGAUUAGGUUUUCCAUGCAUGGUUAAUAAACUCGAUUCGAAUCGUCUACCUCUCACAGUUUGAGACUACUUGAUCGCUAUGGUGCAUUGAGUAAAGAUGGAACAUGAUGAUGAUAUUAAACGUGAUGCUUGUCAUUAAUUGUUUGAAAACUAUGUUUGCUUAAUAUAAGUUGCUAAUUUAGACUGGUUAAUGAACUUAGAACUUGAGCUAAAAUGUUGAAAGUAAGGAUCAACACUAGUCCCUUUUAGCAAAAAUAAACCCACAGCCAAAGAACCUGCAUGUCUAGACGUUAGUGGUUUAGCAACCACUGUCGAGUCAGUCUUGCUGAGUAUUAGUUGCUCAGCCUUGCUUGUGGCAUAACUUUUUAGGUAAUUUUAAUAGUUUGGCUGCUAGCAUCACUUGGCCUACC
rnacentral:lncRNA from 1 species